rnacentral:rRNA from 1 species
CCUACGGGAGACAGCAGUGGGGAAUAUUGGGCAAUGGGCGCAAGCCUGACCCAGCAACGCCGCGUGAAGGAAGAAGGCUUUCGGGUCGUAACCUUCUUUUCUCAGGGACGAAACAAGUGACGGUACCUUAGCAAUAAGCCACGGCUAACUACGUGCCAGCAGCCGCGGUAAUACGUAGGUGGCAAGCGUUAUCCGGAUUUACUGGGUGAAAAGGGCGUGUAGGCGGGGACGCAAGUCAGAUGUGAAAACCACGGGCUCAACCUGUGGACUGCAUUUGAAACUGUGUAUCUUGAGUGCAGGAGAGGCAGACGGAAUUCCUAGUGUAGCGGUGAAAUGCGUAGAUAUUAGGAGGAACACCAGUGGCGAAGGCGGUCUGCUGGACAGCAACUGACGCUGAGGCGCGAAAGCGUGGGGAGCAAACAGGAUUAGAUACCCUGGUAGUC